AAGACGAGCUUGCGUCUGAUUAGCUUGUUGGUAAGGUAAUGGCUUACCAAGGCAACGAUCAGUAGCUGGUCUGAGAGGAUGAUCAGCCACACUGGAACUGAGACACGGGGCCUACACCUACGGGUGGCAGCAACCGGGAAUAUUGCGCAAUGGGCGAAAGCCUGACGCAGCGACGCCGCGUGCGGGAUGAAAACCUUCGGGUUGUAAACCGCUGUGGAGAGGGAAGAUAAUGACGGUACCUUUCUAGAAAGCACCUGCUAACUACGUGCCAGAAGCCUCGGUGAUACGUAGGGUGCAAGCAUUAUCCGGAUUUAUUGGGCGUAAAGAGUAUCGUAGGCAGUCUUGUAAGUGAUCGGUGAAAGCCUCUGGCUCAACCAGAGAACUGCCGGUCAUACUGCAAAACUAGAGUGACUUCGGAAAGGCUGGAAUUCUCGGUGUAGGGGUGAAAUCCGUUGAUAUCGAGAGGAACACCAAGGGCGAAGGCAGGCCUUUAGGAGUCUACUGACGCUGAUGAACGAAAGCUUGGGGAGCAAAAGGGAUUAGAGACCCCUGUAGUCCAAGCCGUAAACGAUGCCCACUAGAUGGUCUCGAUUUAAUCGGGACUGUCGUAAGCUAACGCGUUAAGUG
rnacentral:rRNA from 1 species